ensembl:lncRNA
GGACUUUGUCUGCUGCAGCCAAGCCGAAUGUCAAUCUGACCAGGAGGCCUGUUGAGCGUCCCUCCAGCCCUGCCACUGUCCCGUCUGGGAGAAGCACUCCAUCCGCUACCCCACCUCGAGUGACGCCCCCUUCCAGUCCCAGAUUCUACAGGCCUGUCUCCCCUUUCUCUCUGCCUCCAUCCAGCCCCAUCAUGUCGGCGGCGAGGACCAGCUCUUCUCCUCUGGUUGAAUCAGAUACGAGUCCUGCUCCUCCAGGUCUCCUCCCUGCUCCUCCAGGUCUCCUCCCUGCUCCUCCAGGUCUCCUCCCUGCUCCUCCAGGUCCCCUCCCUGCUCCUCCUGGUCCCCUCCCUGCUCCUCCUGGUCCCCUCCCUGCUCCUCCUCUUGCUGCUCAGUUCUGGCUGCCGGUGGAAAUGAGGAAGACCAUUCCCCAGCAGGACCAGCGCUGGAUUGCAUCCACGCUGUGGAGGAACCAGCGGCUGCGACCGGACGUCCAGCUCUGGUAUGAGCCACCUGUUCCUGCCCUCAUCUACAACCAGGUCCCAUCACCAGACCGCUUUUUUAUGCACCGGCUCCUGGUGUGGAUGCCCUACCACCUGUGGAAGGUGAGGCUGUCCUGCCCCCAGUGCAAGGGGCAGCUCACCGGGGCCGGCAUCCACAAGAGGGCACGGAAGGUCCUGGACGUGGACAGG